CUUGCCCACCUUGGUCAUGUUGGUAAGGAGACCACCUUUGCCUUGUUCCCAUUGUAUCCAGGUACCCAGCACAUAGUAGGUGCUCUCGAAGGAAUGAUCUCGAAGGGAUGCAGGGGGAUGGCUGGCAGUGAGGCUCUUGGCAGAAGGGGCAGGAGGAACUGGGGUGAAAACCCAUAGUGAGUUAAUGUAACAUCGAAAUAUUUUCUACAACACCGUAGAGCAGAGCACGGAGCAUCAGUGAACAAUCAUAAAAGGUAAUCGACUCCUGUGUCAAACUCUCACUACCGCAGGAAGCAUGAA
rnacentral:lncRNA from 1 species